CAAACAUCCGUAACAUCUAAAUUAGACGACUUUAUUCAAUCGACAUAAAAUAUAGAAUGACAUGUCUAAAAAUCAUAGAAUUUUAAUGACUUAUAUACACAUAACGGGUCUUAUUUGUAACGCCAUAGUUCAUAUCUAUCCUUAUAUCAAUACCGCCAGGUGAUCAACUCCACGCAAAACGCUCCUGAUUAUCACUAGAAAAAAACAGCCUUACUAGAGAACCUAUGAUUUGAUGGAUGGUACAAAAUCGUCCAUCUUUACAACGCAUACGGUGCCCAUCCUUUGUAGUAGGACCUAUUGUUAGAUUGACGAUCUGUGAUGGCUAUCCUCGGAUCUACAUUAAUGUCUGAUAAUCAUUUUGAUGUCGUAGGAAGGGGCUAUUAGCGAACAAUUGAACAUUCUACCCAUAAUGAGAACCCUCUUUAUAAGAAUGACUAUGUGAAAGGUGGGAUAAAACCUAUUAUUACAUUUUCACUAGUGAAAAAUAUCACUUUUGCUGAUUUGACCAAUCAAAUCAAGGAUUAGAAAAUACCAAAAUAAUUGACCAAUCAGAAAGCCCGACAUAUAUGUCAGCACCUGGACAGGGGGUGGGACUACUAUAAACGUAUGCAAACUUUCGCUGUAGGCCUAGUUAGCAUACGGGGUAGGUUUUUCGUUGAUAAAAAAAGUAAUAAACAGAAUAUCUAUUACUGAAGACACUGUUAGAUAUCCUCUAUUUAUCAUCUCAAAAAGAGCAAGUCUCCUCGUAACCAGCUGGGAAGGCCUAAACCUCUCCAGCCAGGCCAUCCUUAGUGUCCCUUACCAUCCCACACUUUACACCAAGUACAGAAGUAAGUAUGCUGCUCAUACAGAUAACAGGAUGUUGUGUUGUAAUCAACCCAACGUAAUGGGCCUGUAUCUACCAUCCUGAAUGCCUAGCAGCUACUCCUAGGUACGUCACUCCUUGAGUAACAACUAUACAAUGAUAUAGAAUACAUCGCAAAAUCGCCCAUCAGUAGUAAACCUCUAGUGAAGUAACCACCAAAUUUACAAGUACCCUAGUAACCAAGAUCUCUAGUUAUUAACACUGCGUUGAAGGUCCCUAGUAACCACCCUCUAGAAUGUACCUUGAUAACAAUUCAAUCGCAGGCGCUUGUAAUGAAUGAUUAUAAUAAUAGUACAAAAAGAGUCAUUAUGAACGCAACACAUUAUGUUUAUAUUAAUCUUCUUUCUAUUUUGGAUUAUAAUUAUAAUCAUUCAUCAAUAAAACUUUGUGAUUUAAUAUAUAAACGGUACCUAGUAACCAAUUUUAUAUAAAAGGCCUCUAGAAGCAAUAUCUACAUGAAAAGCUCCUAACAAACAGACUCUUAUUCUAACUUGUGUAAAUCAAAGGUCCCUUGUAACCAACUACAUAUGGUAGGUCCCAAGUAACCAUCCCAGGCGAAUAGUCUAGUUACUAACCCUACGUAGGUCCCAAGUAACCAUCCCAGACAAGAAGUCUAGUUACUAACCCUACGUAGGUCCCAAGUAACCAUCCCAGGCGAAUAGUCUAGUUACUAACCCUACGUAGGUCCCAAGUAACCAUCCCAGACAAGAAGUCUAGUUACUAACCCUACGUAGGUCCCAAGUAACCAUCCCAGGCGAAUAGUCUAGUUACUAACCCUACAUAGGUCCCAGGUAACCAUCCCAGACGAGAAGUCUAGUAAGUAACCCUACGCAGGUCCCAAGUAACCAUCCAAGGCAAGAAGUCUAGGUCCCAAGUAACCAUCCCAGACAAGAAGUCUAGACACUAACCCUACGUAGGUCCCAAGUAACCAUCCCAGACAAGAAGUCUAGACACUAACCCUACGUAGGUCCCAAGUAACCAUCCCAGGCGAAUAGUCUAGUUACUAACCCUACGUAGGCCCCAAGUAACCAUCCCAGACUAGAAGUCUAGUCACUAACCCUACGUAGAUCCCAAGUAACCAUCCUAGACGAGAAGUCUAGUUACUAACACUACGUAGGUCUCAAGUAACCAUCCAAGGCAAGAAGUCUAGUUACUAAUCCUUCGUAGGACCCAAGUAACCAUCCAAGGCAAGAAGUCUAGUUACUAAUCCUACGCAAAUCCUGAAUAUAUUGUAGUAGGUCCAUAAUAGCCAAUUCCACCCAAAGUGCCAGUAGUUAGUACACCAUUCAUUCCUGGGUCGAAUGUUACUCCUGAGAGGAAUGACACACAAGGACACUAUUUAUAGCAAGAUUGAACGAACAUUCAGAUUUAAGUCGACCCAAAAUAACAUCCAACACACGAUGUUAACAUAUAAUGGGCAUUACUCUUACCUUUAUUAUUGGUUAGAUUUAGGUAUGGCACAGAAAUAGCCAAUAAAAUUACACCAAUCUAAAUUUAAAUUCAACAAUAUCAUGCCCACUUACAACACAUUAAUUCAUUUGAAUAAAAUCGUUUAAACACACAAACACACACACACAUACAAUAAUGUGUUGUACAUCCCAUCACAAGGACUUGUUUUUAAUGAUAUACUUCAUGACAUCCGUUUGAAAUUUUAAGUUAAUUUUAUGAUUUUUUUUCUCCUGUUUCUGACAAUUGAAUAUCGUUUUUGUUCAGAUUAGAAAUAUAGCAUGAACAACAUGCAAAACAUCACAUGGUGACCAUAAUAAAUCUGUCAUCGCACUACACAACAACUUAAGUAGCUUAAAUACAUGAUAUUCAGCAUCAGUAGUUCUUGUAGUUCAGGACGAUUUUGUUUUGUUUUUUUCAAUGAAUUUUAACGAAUUUAUUUAGUUUCACUCUAACAUUAUUUGCAUGACAUGAAUUGGAAACAUUUCAAUAUACUAGAUAAAACGAACAUUAAUUAAAAGUUCAAUAUAUAACAAUUGAAAAUAUUUACAUAAACAAGUCCAAGGUUUAAGACUGCAAAAAAUCUCUCGUGCAAUAUUUCACAUUAAUAUCAUUUGAGAGCACAAGCCAAAGGGGCAAUUGUUAUGAGGGGAAUUUAAGAAAAAAUAAAAUAAUAAGGUAAAUUUCAAAGAAAUGAGUAAAUCUUGAAAUACUACUGAACAACGUAGAUAACCAAGAAAGUAUUCGUUUGAAGUUCUCAUUUUUUUCUGUUAUUUUUGUUUGUUUUUGAUUAUCAUCAAAAUUUCCUACUACCUAAACUGUAACAAAAUUUACCCCUACAAACCCACUUGUCUAUGGACAUUAAAUACCAUGGUAAUGAGAUAGCAUACAGGUACAAAAAAGUGUAUUCAUUAUUUUUUCACAGAUACAUUGCUGUUGUGACAUCACGUGAAAUUAUUUUGCACUGCUUUCAGAUAUAUGAAAUUCUAAUUCAAACUUCUAUUAUUAAUUUUCAAUCAUUGUUGACUGGCCAUGCAAGAGAGACAUCUCUAAACCUGGAAAGGGAUAUCCUCAACUUCACCAGUGUGAGAAUUUCUUAUCUCACCCUGAGGUUCCAGCUAUACAUGCUCUUUGCACAUUAUCAACAAUUGUAUGACAUCACAACAACACAAUAAUGUAAGGUUGACAAUUCAAUCAUGUCUUGUCAACAUUAACUUGCAAUGAUGUAACAUCAAUAUACGAUAUAUACGAGGAUAAACAGGUUGAGAGAAAAAUAUUAA